rnacentral:rRNA from 1 species
UACGAAGGGGGCUAGCGUUGAUCGGAAUGACUGGGCGUAAAGGGCGCGUAGGCGGUUCGUACAGUCAGACGUGAAAUUCCCGGGCUCAACCUGGGGGCUGCGUUUGAUACGUGCGGGCUUGAGUUCGGAAGAGGGUCGUGGAAUUCCCAGUGUAGAGGUGAAAUUCGUAGAUAUUGGGAAGAACACCGGUGGCGAAGGCGGCGAGCUGGUCCAUUACUGACGUUGAGGCGCGACAGCGUGGGGAGCAAACAGG